ensembl:lncRNA
UCACAGACCCCUCCACAAGAUUAUAGAAGUAGUAGCAGUCACUGGUCCCAUCCUCUGGUGGGCUCUUUUGGCUGCCUGAAGGAUUUCUAGGAAGCUCCAGGGAUGCUGCUCUUCUCAGGAGUCCUUCUCUGUGCUGGGGUGGGCAUCUUAAGAUUCAGCUGCCUUUGAAUCACCCACAUUUGGAGCUGUUGCUGGUGUUAUUAAAAUUUGAGAGGAAAACAAAUGCAGCUCAGUCCCCUGGUGAGUGAUUUUUUAUCUUAAAUUAAUGUUAGAAUUGCAAUGAAGGAAGUUGUGUCACUCCCCCAAACAAGGGCAAGGCCAUGCUAUAGAUAUUCUAGGAAAGAAGAAAACAAACAAACCAUGAAAACCAAAUGUGCACCUGUAGGGAAAAUGAUAAUUGCUACAUUGGUUUACUCUGUGUGCCCAAGUCUGGCUUAUGCAUACUAUUUUGGAGAAUAGGCACAGAGUAUUCUGAAUAGAAAUUAUCCCAGUCUGAGUAGAAUUGUGAUCGCCAAUGGCCUCAUUUACCUGUAUGAUCAACUCAAAUGGAAAGGAAUUCACGAAAGCCUCAUUUGUUAUAGGCACAGUGAUCAUCCGAAGGCAAAAUGGCAUAGAAGUAGCUAAGCAUCUCCUCCUCGGUGGGAACAAUGGUUACUUAAAAGUAAAAGAGCAGUAUGAUUUAAUUGCCACACAGAGUUGAAAUGAUUGUAACAUCCACUAGAGACAGAAGUUACGGAAGAUGACAACAAUUCAAAAGUGUUUGGUAUUAGAUCUGGGCCUUGGGAUAACAAGAAAGGGAAAUAGUCAAGAAAGGACGGCAGAAGUUUAGACAUCAGUUUGUAGAGCAUGGAGAACCAUUAGGGUUCACUAGGGCUCACUGGUUUGGAGUGCUCAAAGGCAAUAGAACUGAGAUGCAGCUGUGUAUGGGCAACUUAGAAAAAUAGGAAGUUAGGGGCAUGCAGGCCACUUGGAUGCAGUUAUGAUUUCUUAUGUGGGCAUAGAUGCGAUUAUGGAGAUGGGCUGUCUAUGACGAUACAGCUGUUUGAUCAGUGAAAAGUACAAGAGAGAAAGUGACUGUGUAACUAAUUC